rnacentral:lncRNA from 1 species
GAGGGAAGCAAUAUUUAAAACAAGAGAUAGAUCGGCACUGAAAGUAGAUGACAGCUUAAUGAGAGUGGGAGAUAAAGCUUGUACGUUUUCUGUAAUUCUCAUUCGCGUGUGCACGUCGCUGAGAGACCCAAGCGCAGAUCCACCGUCAAACGUGUCUUCCUUGCCCACUGGAGACUUUAUCAUAAAAAUAGAAUGUAAUUUAUAGGCUAUAAAGAAGCAGCCACAUCCUCAACAGCCAGUUGGUGAAAAUGAAAGCCAGGAUAGCCUGGGGUGAUCUUGGACACCACACCAUGGGCAUCCACUGAUGGCUGCUUGCGAAUAAUAAUUCACCUGUCAUUUACAAGAAAGGGCUGGAGACAACUUUGAAAAGAUUUAGCUCUCUGCCUGGAUGGCUUAAUGUUUUAACAUCCACUUUUAUUCCUAAAAAUGAACCAUUUUUACUAUAAUGUAAUCCAACUGUCAAUACUCCAAUAGUUAUGAUCACUUUACUCUUGCAUCUCCUUAAUGACAACUCAUAGUCUCGCUGCAAAAUCAGAUUGAAGCUCGUCUGCCCUCUGAGUAGUCUGUUAUGUGGCUUGUAAGCUGAGUAGACAUAGACAGCUGCUUCACCAUGGACAGAAACUUCAUCCAGCUACUCCUAAAAUUCCUCCCCUGGGGAACAAAGCAACAUCUACACCUCUUCAGAUUCCCAAGGACCAACUGAGGCACGAUUCCACUGAAGUUCAUUCAGGGAACCAGGGACUUCAUUGGGCUUCCUUACAGAGCAUACAUGAGAGGGUACUUACACAAGAUUUUUCAUCCUGAAAACAUAAAAUAUCUUCAGAAGCAAUAAGAAAAUUUCAUAAAGCUAUCUGUAAUUCACAUCUCAAUUCUAAGCACCCAGCUGAAAGAAAGCUGAAGAGAUGACUCAGUCUUUAAAACAUGCCAAAGCACCCUGCAUAAUGGAUGCAUCUUCUGAUUGGAUUGUAAUUAAAAUAAGAUUUUUCCCCCAGUAAUAACAUAGUUACCUGCACUGGCAGAAGGGAGAUGGCAGACGUAAUGGAUAGUUGAUGAACAGUUUGAAUGUUGCCAUAAUCUAUACAUCCCAUUAUGAUUCCUGUUUCAGUAAAAGAAGAAAUUAUAAGAACCCACUGCCCCCCUGCACCACCACAACUAUAGUUGGACUGGACAGGACAUGAACACAAGAAAUGAGGGCUGACAGAGGCGGGGAGCUCUGGAGAUUGAAGGCAUAAAAUUGAAAAGUGCAGGUUUUGUAGACUGAACAUCAAUUUGCUCACCUCCAAGAAGGACAAAAAUCAUCAUUCAUAGCUCGGGUCAGAGCCACCUAGCUUCAAGUUAACAGGGGAGCAGCUUUCUGACCAGAUGCAUACAGUCAUUUUCUGAGAGCUGAGAAGUCUGCUGGUGUCGUAAGUAAAGUAAUGGGCACUGAGACAAUGCCCCUGGCCUUGGGAUCAUGUAUUCCCAAGUCUCAUGCAGAAAGAGCACGAAGCACAUGUUUCUCAUGUUUGGGUAUAGGAACAAUAUUUAGUAGAAGGAGAUCUCUUAAGGAAG